rnacentral:rRNA from 1 species
UACGUAGGCAGCGAGCGUUGUUCGGAGUUACUGGGCGUAAAGAGUGCGUAGGCGGUGCUCCAAGUCUGGUGUGAAAUCUCCCGGCUUAACCGGGAGGGUGCGCCGGAAACUGGGGUGCUGGAGUGUGGGAGAGGUAAGCGGAAUUCCCGGUGUAGCGGUGAAAUGCGCAGAUAUCAGGAGGAACACCGGUGGCGAAGGCGGGUCUCUGGGCCGAUACUGACGCUGAGGAGCGAAAGCGUGGGGAGCGAACAGG